rnacentral:misc_RNA from 1 species
AAAAGGAGAAGGUUGCCUGUUUGAUGGCCUGCGUUUGCGCGAACAAUUCUUAAGUUUCCCGAAGCCGAAGGCCAUAUUUUAUUCUCUGAGAUUUGGAGAGACCAUCGUUAUCGGUUGAUAAAUCUUUUACGUUGCUAAGGACUUGUAGUUGAAGUUUAUUUAUUGGGAGAUGGCGGAGGAGGGUCACAGGGUUACCUUGAAUGUGUAUGAUCUCAGCCAAGGAUUGGCACGCCAGCUUUCAACGACAUUUUUGGGUAAAGCUGUUGAGGGAAUUUGGCACACAGGAGUAGUGGUAUAUGGUAAUGAAUACUAUUUUGGGGGAGGCAUACAGCAUGACCCUGCUGGAAGAACUCCAUAUGGAACACCAAUUAAAGUGGUAGAUUUGGGCAUCACACAUGUA